GACGAACGCUGGCGGCGUGCUUAACACAUGCAAGUCGAACGGAAAGGCCCUGCUUUUGUGGGGUGCUCGAGUGGCGAACGGGUGAGUAACACGUGAGUAACCUGCCCUUGACUUUGGGAUAACUUCAGGAAACUGGGGCUAAUACCGGAUAGGAGCUCCUGCUGCAUGGUGGGGGUUGGAAAGUUUCGGCGGUUGGGGAUGGACUCGCGGCUUAUCAGCUUGUUGGUGGGGUAGUGGCUUACCAAGGCUUUGACGGGUAGCCGGCCUGAGAUGGUGACCGGCCACAUUGGGACUGGGAAGCGGCCCAGACUCCUACGGGAGGCAGCAGUGGGGAAUAUUGCACGAUGGGCGGAAGCCUGAUGCAGCAACGCCGCGUGCGGGAUGACGGCCUUCGGGUUGUAAACCGCUUUCGCCUGUGACGAAGCGUGAGUGACGGUAAUUGGUAAAGAAGCACCGGCUAACUACGUG
rnacentral:rRNA from 1 species